rnacentral:rRNA from 1 species
CCUACUGGUGGCAGCAGUGAGGAAUCUUGGUCAAUGGGAGAGAUCCUGAACCAGCCAAGCCGCUUGAGGGAAGCCGGCCCUAUGGGUUGUAACCCUCUUUUGUCGGUGCACAAAACCCGGUACGUGUCCCGGACUGCGUUUAUCCCAAGAAAAAGCAUCGUCUAACCCCGUGCCAGCAGCCGCGGUAAUCCGGAGGAUGCGAGCGUUAUACGGAUUUAUUGGUUUUAAAGGGUGCGUAGGCGGUCCGUUAAGUCAGCGGUAAAAUUGCGGGGCGCAACCCCGCCGAGCCGUUGAAACUGGCAGACUUGAGUUGGCGAGAAGUACGCGGAAUGCGAGGUGUAGCGGUGAAAUGCAUAGAUAUCGCGCAGAACGCCGAUUGCGAAGGCAGCGUACCGGCGCCAGACUGACGCUGAGGCACGAAAGCGUGGGGAUCGAACAGGAUUAGAUACCCCUGUAGUC